rnacentral:rRNA from 1 species
GACGAACGCUGGCGGCGUGCUUAACACAUGCAAGUCGAACGGAAAGGCCCUGCUUUUGUGGGGUGCUCGAGUGGCGAACGGGUGAGUAACACGUGAGUAACCUGCCCUUGACUUUGGGAUAACUUCAGGAAACUGGGGCUAAUACCGGAUAGGAGCUCCUGCUGCAUGGUGGGGGUUGGAAAGUUUCGGCGGUUGGGGAUGGACUCGCGGCUUAUCAGCUUGUUGGUGGGGUAGUGGCUUACCAAGGCUUUGACGGGUAGCCGGCCUGAGAGGGUGACCGGCCACAUUGGGACUGAGAGACGGCCCAGACUCCUACGGGAGGCAGCAGUGGGGAAUAUUGCGCAAUGGGCGGAAGCCUGAUGCGGCAACGCCGCGUGCGGGAUGACGGCCUUCGGGUUGUAAACCGCUUUCGCCUGUGACGAAGCGUGAGUGACGGUAAUGGGUAAAGAAGCACCGGCUAACUACGUG